rnacentral:rRNA from 1 species
AUUGAACGCUGGCGGCAGGCCUAACACAUGCAAGUCGAGCGAGCGGCGGACGGGUGAGUAAUGUCUGGGAAACUGCCUGAUGGAGGGGGAUAACUACUGGAAACGGUAGCUAAUACCGCAUACCAUCAGAUGUGCCCAGAUGGGAUUAGCUAGUAGGUGGGGUAACGGCUCACCUAGGCGACGAUCCCUAGCUGGUCUGAGGGGAUGACCAGCAACACGGGAAGUGGGACACGGUCCAGAUUCCUACGGAGGGCAGCGGGGGGGAAUAUUGCACAAGGGGCGAAAGCCUGAUGCAGCCAUGCCGCGUUUGGGAAGAAGGCCUUCGGGUUGUAAAGCACUUUCGGCGGGGAGGCGUUACCCGCAGAAGAAGCACCGGCUAACUCCGUGCCAGCCGCCGCGGUAAUA